GGGGGCUAUCUUGGAAUCUGUAGGGGGAAGUCUGACGGAGCGACGCCGCGUGAGUGAUGAAGGCCCUUGGGUCGUAAAGCUCUGUCAUCAGGGACGAACGGUCACGUCAGGAAAUGGGCGUGAAUUGACGGUACCUGAGAAGGAAGCCACGGCUAACUACGUGCCAGCAGCCGCGGUAAUACGUAGGUGGCGAGCGUUGUCCGGAAUUAUUGGGCGUAAAGCGCGCGCAGGUGGGAUCUUAAGUCUGUUCUGAAAGUUCGGAGCUUAACUCCGUGAUGGGAUGGAAACUGGGAUUCUUGAGUAUCGGAGAGGAAAGCGGAAUUCCCCGUGUAGCGGUGAAAUGCGUAGAUAUGGGGAGGAACACCAGUGGCGAAGGCGGCUUUCUGGACGAUGUCUGACACUGAGGCGCGAAAGCCAGGGGAGCGAACGGGAUUAGAUACCCCGGUAGUCCUGGCCGUAAACGAUGGGUACUAGGUGUGGGGGGUGUCAACUCCUCCCGUGCCGGCGCUAACGCAAUAAGUACCCCGCCUGGGGAGUACGGCCCGCAAGGUUGAAACUCAAAGAUU
rnacentral:rRNA from 1 species